AAGUGUAUUGCAGGAACAGUCAAGGAUGAAACAGGCAGGAGGUUAAUCUGUGCUUGAAUUUCAGGAGCAGCUUGAUGAGAUGGAUCAGGAUAUUAAUUUACCUCAAUGUUUCCUGGCCUACUGGAAGUACUUCACUGAGAUUGGACAGUUCAGUGCUUGUAAUUUGCUACGUAAACCUGUCCAGCACAUUCAGGAUUUACUUGAAGUUACGGAUAAUCCGCUGCUGAAGGAUUUAAAUAUAACUACUGAAAUGGAUGAUGCUCAGCCUGAUAUUAACAUAUCUGUUCAACAAUAUAAGGUGAAACUUUUUCAGUUUGAAAAUAAGAUGAAUCAAUUUAAAAAGUUACAAUGGCAAUGCCUUACAUUUAAUGCUUGCAUUGAAACAAAACUGUUCCCAGGGGUUUACAUAUUUUAAAGAUGCCCACAUUCACAGAUCACAAUCCUGAAUUACUUAAACAGUGGCAGCAUCUAAACUUGAAUCUGUCAUUUCAAUAUCUGACUCUAAUGAAUAAGUUUUUUUGAAUCAUUUGAAAAUGAACUGAAAACAGAAGUCACUAAAAUGUAUGAUGAACUUAUAGAACUUGUUGAAAACAAUAUACAUUCAGUUUUACUGAGUAAAACAAUUGGUGAGAUAGUUAAUUUUGAAACAAAACUGAGAGUAAAAAAUAGAAAUUAAGGCAUGACUUUAAUGAUUUUAAGAAAGGGGACAUCUUCACCUGGCCUAACCCUAGACAAACCAAUGAUAAAAAGGAUCCAGAUGUACAUCAGACCGAUCAAUGGAGAACACCUUAACUAGUCCAAAUAACAUCAUGACGUCAAAGAAAGACAUUACAGCAAUGACCGGGUCUGAUAAAUAUCUACAGCAUUAUUUUAAUCUGCAGCACCUGCUGUUACUCAAUAAAUGGUUGUGGAAGCUAAUAUUAUAUCAGUGUCCAAUCCUUUAGAAAUGCCCAUUUCAAAAUCAAUGUUUUAUUCGAUCAACGGAAUCCAUUCCCUUUAUCCCCAAAAGAAAGUGAGAUGUCAAUCAAACAAGACAGAAAAAAAGCAAUACCAACCCAGAGAAGAACAAUUAACAGGUACUGUUGCAUCAAAUCUUCUUUUUCUUCUAUCGGCUGCUCCCCUUAGGGGUCG